rnacentral:rRNA from 1 species
CCUACGGGUGGCAGCAGUGGGGGAUAUUGCACAAUGGGGGAAACCCUGAUGCAGCGACGCCGCGUGAGUGAAGAAGUAUUUCGGUAUGUUAAGCUCUAUCAGCAGGGAAGAAAAUGACAGUACCUGACCAAGAAGCCCCGGCUAACUACGGGACAGCAGCCGCGGUACUACGGAGGGGGCAAGCGUUAUCCGGCUUGACUGGGUGUAAAGGGAGCGUAGACGGUUAUGUAAGUCUGGAGUGAAAGCCCCGGGCCCAACCCGGGUAGUGCUUUGGAAACUGGGUAACUGGAGUACAGGAGGGGCAGGCGGAAUGCCGGGUGGAGCGGUGAAAUGCAUAGAUAUCAGGAGGAACACCGGCGGCGAAGGCGGCCUGCUGGCCUGAAACUGACGUUGAGGCACGAAAGCGUGGGGAGCGAACAGGAUUAGAUACCCGAGUAGUC